GGGGCCGUAGUCGAGCCUGGUAAGAUGUGCGGCUUGGACCCGGGAGGGGGACCCCCGGGAGUUCAAAUCCCGGCGGCCCCA
rnacentral:tRNA from 4 species